GAUCCUUCAAAUAUGGUGAAAUCACUGUGACUGAUGUCUUUGUCCUUCAUAACAGGCCUGCAGAGCUAAUAGAAGGGAAAUGGCGCACUACUCUCAGUGGUAUUUCAUACUUAGCGCCUUCAACACCUCUAAAACUUGCUGAGCAAUUUAACAUCCCAGGCGUCUUCAAGCUUGACUUCCCCAAUAAAAUGAUGAACAGGCCGGCAAAAGUUGAUACGUCAGUAAUUAAUGGUACUUACAAAGCAUUCGUGGAAAUCAUAUUCCAAAACAAUGACACAACUGUUCAGAGCUAUCACCUUGAUGGCUACGCCUUUUUUGUUGUCGGCAUGGACUACGGGCUAUGGACGGAGAAUAGUAGAAGCACCUACAACAAAU
rnacentral:misc_RNA from 1 species